rnacentral:rRNA from 1 species
CCUACGGGAGGCAGCAGUGAGGAAUAUUGGUCAAUGGGCUUACACCUGAACCAGCCAAGUCGCGUGAGGGAAGACUGCCCUAUGGGUUGUAAACCUCUUUUGUCAGGGAGCAAUUGGCGCUACGUGUAGCGUUAUCGAGAGUACCUGAAGAAAAAGCAUCGGCUAACUCCGUGCCAGCAGCCGCGGUAAUACGGAGGAUGCGAGCGUUAUCCGGAUUUAUUGGGUUUAAAGGGUGCGUAGGCGGAAUGCCAAGUCAGCGGUAAAAUCGCGGGGCUCAACCUCGCUCCGCCGUUGAAACUGGCGUGCUUGAGUGGGCGAGAAGUAUGCGGAAUGCGUGGUGUAGCGGUGAAAUGCAUAGAUAUCACGCAGAACUCCGAUUGCGAAGGCAGCAUACCGGCGCCCAACUGACGCUGAAGCACGAAAGCGUGGGUAUCGAACAGGAUUAGAUACCCCUGUAGUC